rnacentral:lncRNA from 1 species
CACUGCUAGUGCUUGAACGAAGACGCGGCAUACGGAAAAAAAGAGACCGGAAAUACCUCGAAAUGUACGUUACUUCGUUUGACGCGAAAGAAUUUACCCUGGGAGCAUACGAAGCACCAAUAUGCGUCCCGGUCUCCGGCGGUCGGAUGUUGAUGUGAGUCCCCCCAACGUCAGCACGGUGAUGUGCGACGCGAGUGAGCCUUUCUACUUUUUGGCGGAGACCCCUUUUCGCCAGCAAGUGACUCGGUGUCUCCGUGAAGCACCGAAGUGUAGCUACAGCCCUCUUCGGCGAGCUGAACGGGCAGCCGAGCUUUCGAAGGCCGAUCUCCCGCAGCGCUGGAACCCGGAGAACCGCGCCAUGGCGCUCGCUGAGAAUCCACCGGCUGCCGGGCUACUGAAAGGGCCCUCUGCUCGGAGGACAUGCUGAGGGCCCUGUAUAAUGCCCUCGGCGCCUGUGCGACUUCCGGGGGUCUGCGUUUCACGGCCCCGUUACCAGCUGGGAAGUUCUCCAUGGAGGGGACGACAUCCUGUCCAGCACCAGCUUCACCAUCUGGGACCAAGUGCACGAGGGGUCGCACUGCAAGGAGAUGAAAGGAGGGCACUGCGACCUUGAGGUCAAGCUUGUACAUCUACCAUUACAGUCCUGAAUGGAUGCCAAUUGGUACUGAUGACGUUAUGAAGGUGAAACGUCCCUGGAUCUAAAGGGAAAAUUUGAUUGAAGGCGAGCUGAAGUUGUUUCUGACUUUAUCCUCUUACGACUUGAAAGUAAUCUGCCUACUUCAUGAAUACCGAAGAUGCAGAAUUUGUUUCCGUAACUGUCCCACUUCAACGUAAUGUGCACAUUGAAACCUGUUCCUUUUCUUUUUCUGCUUUCCGGCGAGA